rnacentral:tRNA from 1 species
GCGCCGGUGCAGAGGUUGAACUUGCCGACGUUGACGGUGUUGAGGGCGGCGUCGAAGGCGGCGCGGCCGGUGUGCAGGAUGUCGUCGGCGGA